CUUAAGUUGGGUUUCCUGACACAUUUUAGCCAACUGAUUCUUAAUAGUUCUAUUCAUUCUCUCUACCUUACCAGAACUCUGGGGUCUAUAUGCCGUAUGAAGCCUCCACUUUAUACCAAGCAUAUGAGUCAAUUGUUGUAGGCACUGAUGCCCCGCCCGGAAUUAAAGCAAGCAGGUUAUAUGGAUUGGGCACGACUGGAUGUAUA